CCGUAGCGAGGAGCAAUCUCAUAACCCAUGAUUGCGGACUUGUUUCGAUAAAAGAUAAAUGAAUGCAGCCAACAGUGUCCUCAUAAGCUGACGGUGUUGCAGCUUCCGGUGACAGAACUUGGAUGAAGGGGUCAUGGAAAAAAACAAUGACAGCAUCACAAAAAUAUGGGUAUGCCUUAAUCCCACAAUCCCCUUGCGUAUUGGGUCAGCAUUGCAGGAGAGCAUUGGGCAAGAGGAAGAGGCUCCAUGACGGUUAUUGUUCCACAUGAGAGGGGUGGAGUGGGGCAUCCAAGCUCCACCUGGGAGAACACAAGGAAGUGAUCGACAAGAGGACGGAGGAAUGCCCAAGUAUGUGCGACCGCCACCGGCUGCAGUAAUGCAACACCAAUAGGCUGGACAAGCUUGGGCUUGGCUUCAAAGCUCGGAAUGCUGAAGUGUUUACAACAGAUGUCGCAUACAAAUUGCUUCAUUAGUCUGUUGCAUUGUCUCUUCCGAUCUAGUCAUUGUAUCAACCAGCUGCAA